UACGUAGGGGGCAAGCGUUGUUCGGAAUUACUGGGCGUAAAGGGCGCGUAGGCGGCACAGCAAGUCGGGAGUGAAAGCCCGGGGCUCAACCCCGGAAUGUCUUUCGAAACUGCUGAGCUCGAGUGCGGAAGAGGCAACUGGAAUUCCCAGUGUAGCGGUGAAAUGCGUAGAUAUUGGGAAGAACACCAGUGGCGAAGGCGGCUCACUGGCCCGAUACUGACGCUGAGGUGCGAAAGCGUGGGGAGCAAACAGG
rnacentral:rRNA from 1 species